ensembl:snoRNA SNORD18 Small nucleolar RNA SNORD18
AGUGGGUGAUGAAAUGCCAUUGGUCCGUGUUUCUGAAACAUGUGAUUUUACGUGGCUAGUCUGAUACU